AGUGAACGCUGGCGGUAGGCCUAACACAUGCAAGUCGAACGGCAGCACAGUAAGAGCUUGCUCUUACGGGUGGCGAGUGGCGGACGGGUGAGGAAUACAUCGGAAUCUACUUUUUCGUGGGGGAUAACGUAGGGAAACUUACGCUAAUACCGCAUACGACCUACGGGUGAAAGCAGGGGAUCUUCGGACCUUGCGCGAUUGAAUGAGCCGAUGUCGGAUUAGCUAGUUGGCGGGGUAAAGGCCCACCAAGGCGACGAUCCGUAGCUGGUCUGAGAGGAUGAUCAGCCACACUGGAACUGGGACACGGUCCAGACUCCUACGGGAGGCAGCAGUGGGGAAUAUUGGACAAUGGGCGCAAGCCUGAUCCAGCCAUACCGCGUGGGUGAAGAAGGCCUUCGAGUUGUAAAGCCCUUUUGUUGGGAAAGAAAAGCAGCAGGUUAAUACCCCGCUGUUCUGACGGUACCCAAAGAAUAAGCACCGGCUAACUUCGUG
rnacentral:rRNA from 1 species